rnacentral:rRNA from 1 species
CAAUAGCGUAUAUUAAAGUUGUUGCGGUAAAAAAGCUCGUAGUUGGAUUUCUGUUGAGAGCGACCGGUCCAUACCAUGUAUGCGUAUCUGGCUUGCUCUCGGCAUCCUCUCGAUAGACGUUACUGCGCUUGAUUGCGUGGUGCGGAUCUCGGGACUUUUACUUUGAGGAAAUUAGAGUGUUCACGGCAGGCUUUCGCCAGAAUACAUUAGCAUGGAAUAAUACUAUAGGAUCUUGGUUCUAUUUUGUUGGUUUCUAGAAUUGAGAUAAUGAUUAAUAGGGACAAUUGGGGGGCAUACGUAUCAACACGUCAGAGGUGGAAUUCUUGGAUUGUGUUGCGACGAACUACUGCGAAAGCAUUUGCCAAGGAUGUUUUCAUUGA